CCUACGGGAGGCAGCAGUGGGGAAUAUUGCACAAUGAGCGCAAGCCUGAUGCAGCCAUGCCGCGUGUGUGAAGAAGGCCUUCGGGUUGUAAAGCACUUUCAGCGGGGAGGAAGGCGGUGAGGUUAAUAACCUCAUCGAUUGACGUUACCCGCAGAAGAAGCACCGGCUAACUCCGUGCCAGCAGCCGCGGUAAUACGGAGGGUGCAAGCGUUAAUCGGAAUUACUGGGCGUAAAGCGCACGCAGGCGGUCUGUCAAGUCGGAUGUGAAAUCCCCGGGCUCAACCUGGGAACUGCAUUCGAAACUGGCAGGCUAGAGUCUUGUAGAGGGGGGUAGAAUUCCAGGUGUAGCGGUGAAAUGCGUAGAGAUCUGGAGGAAUACCGGUGGCGAAGGCGGCCCCCUGGACAAAGACUGACGCUCAGGUGCGAAAGCGUGGGGAGCAAACAGGAUUAGAUACCCUGAUAGUC
rnacentral:rRNA from 1 species